rnacentral:sRNA from 1 species
AGCUUCGACCAGGGUUCGAUUCGAGCGCAGCGAGAAAGCGUUGCCGCAGGCAACGGCCCGAAGGGCGAAGCGCGCAGCGCUGAGUCAUCCUUCCCCCACCACCA